rnacentral:ncRNA from 1 species
GUCUAAGUACAUACAGAUGGUACAGUAAAACUACAAAUGGCUCAUUAAAUCAGUUAUGGUUCCUUUGGUUGUUCCCUCCUCUCCUACUUGAAUAACUAUGAUAAUUCUAGAACUAAUACAUGCCAGUGGCAGGUGGGCACCGACCCCCCCCCUUGAACAUGUAUGCAUUUAUCAGAUCAAAACCAGGACCUCUGUGGUUAAGCCCUCCCCCAUUCAGCUAUACCUAAAAAGGCUAGCAGUGAUAAGAUUUGUCUCUAACCUAAAGACCAGGAAAAUCUCUCAAAGAAAGUGAAUCCUCUAGAUAAGCAGGCUCUUAUUAUAGGUAAAGCAUACCAUUGAG